CAGUCGCCGCGGUAAUACGUAGGGUGCGAGCGUUAAUCGGAAUUACUGGGCGUAAAGCGUGCGCAGGCGGUUAUAUAAGACAGUUGUGAAAUCCCCGGGCUCAACCUGGGAACUGCAUCUGUGACUGUAUAGCUAGAGUACGGUAGAGGGGGAUGGAAUUCCGCGUGUAGCAGUGAAAUGCGUAGAUAUGCGGAGGAACACCGAUGGCGAAGGCAAUCCCCUGGACCUGUACUGACGCUCAUGCACGAAAGCGUGGGGAGCAAACAGGAUUAGAUACCCGCGUAGUCCCUGUCUCUUAUAC
rnacentral:rRNA from 1 species